UUCUAGAUCGUUCCCUUCGUCCCUCUUUCCUCUCACUUCCAGAUUAAAAGAGAACCAAAACUCAAAAAUUUCUAACCAGAGGAAUAGGCAAAGUACUCGGCAUCUUCCUCAAACCUCUUCUUAUCCAAACAAAAAAAGCUAUAGGAUUCGAGGGAAAACAAGUCCUCUUUUCAAUAAAAUGGUCUAAUCAUUCUUCUCAUUUUAAUUUUUGAUUUGUUGGAGUAUGCAUAUGUGGGUUUUUUGUUGAAAGAUUACUAACGUUCACCAUAUGGUUGAAAAAAUGUCUGCUAGAAAAUCAUACUUUGUUAGCACUGGUAAACUAUUUAGCUGAAUGUAGUCUUGAAAUCUUUAAUGAUCAAUCUGCUAUUGCAUUAUCAGAGAUGCUUUGUUAGAUGGUUGGAUGUGCAUUAAUAUUCAUCUGGCUUAGAACAAGGGGCUUCGGGGCUGAAGAAUGCAUGGAAUUUUCAAGGAAGCAAUUGUUCGUUUUGCUUAUUUUGGUGGAGAAGGGGUCUCGAGGAAUAAGGGAUACAACAAUGCUAGCUUGGAAGUGGUUUGAACUUUGAAGUGGAUCCAUGGGCACAUCUAGAUUUUAUCCUAAAAGCUUACAAUCGAUCAAAUGAAGAUGUUUGACCAGCUUUCUUCAGUCAAGACGGUCAAGUUUCUAAAAUUCAGAAGAAAAAUAAGUAGUAAAGAAAUUCAACAGUUGAUAAUUAAAUGGGGAUUUUUUUUUCUUUAUAGAGUCUGAGAAUAAUGAACUUACGAACAUUCCAUACUUGGAUAAUGAAUAUAUUGGGAUUUAGUCCUUUAUUGUCA